rnacentral:rRNA from 1 species
AGUCUAAGGUUUCCUGGGGAAGGUUCGUCCGCCCAGGGUAAGUCGGGACCUAAGGUGAGGCUGAAAAGCGUAGCCGAUGGAUAGCAGGUUGAGAUUCCUGCACUAUAGAUAUACUUAAAAGAUGCAAGGGACGCAGGAGUGGAAGAUAAGCGAGGAAGAGGAAAGACUCGUAUCGCAAGAUAUAGUGAAAAUAAAGUAACGAAUUAUCAAGAAGCACACUGACGAGAAAAGCUUGUAGAUAUUGUAUAUAAAUACCCGUACCGCAAACCGACACAGGUAGAUGAGGAGAGGAUCCUAAGACGAGCGGGAGAAGCAUUGUUAAGGAACUCGGCAAAUUGACCCCGUAACUUAGGGAGAAGGGGUGCCAAAGUAAAAUUUGGUCGCAGAGAAGAGGCCCAAGCAACUGUUUAACAAAAACACAGGUUUCUGCUAAAUCGAAAGAUGAAGUAUAGGAGCUGACACCUGCCCAGUGCUGGAAGGUUAAGGGAAAGAGUUAGACGCAAGUCGAAGCUUAGAACUAAAGCCCCAGUGAACGGCGGCCGUAACUAUAACGGUCCUAAGGUAGCGAAAUUCCUUGUCAGGUAAGUUCUGACCCGCACGAAAGGCGUAAUGAUUUGGGCACUGUCUCGACAAUGUACCCGGCGAAAUUGUAGUACUAGUGAAGAUGCUAGUUACCUGCGACAAGACAGAAAGACCCCAUGGAGCUUUACUGCAGCUUGAUACUGGGUUUCGGUAAUUUAUGUACAGGAUAGGUGGGAUGCUAAGAAGUAUGUGCGCCAGCGCAUAUGGAGCAGACGUUGGGAUACCACCCUUAAAUUACUGGAAUUCUAACUAUAAGUCCUAAGCGGGCUUGAGGACAAUGUCAGGCGGGCAGUUUGACUGGGGCGGUCGCCUCCUAAAGAGUAACGGAGGCGCGCAAAGGUUUCCUCAGCGCGGACAGAAAUCGCGCGAAAGAGUGCAAAGGCAGAAGGAAGCUUAACUGAGAGACAGACAUGUCGACCAGAUACGAAAGUAGGUCUUAGUGAUCCGGUGGUUGUAAGUGGAAAUGCCAUCGCUCAACGGACAAAAGUUACCCUGGGGAUAACAGGCUUAUCUCCCCCAAGAGUUCACAUCGACGGGGAGGUUUGGCACCUCGAUGUCGGCUCAUCGCAUCCUGGAGCUGUAGUCGGUUCCAAGGGUUGGGCUGUUCGCCCAUUAAAGCGGUACGCGAGCUGGGUUCAGAACGU